rnacentral:rRNA from 1 species
CAGGCUUAACACAUGCAAGUCAAGGGGCAGCAUGGUCUUAGCUUGCUAAGGCCGAUGGCGACCGGCGCACGGGUGAGUAACACGUAUCCAACCUGCCGUCUACUCUUGGACAGCCUUCUGAAAGGAAGAUUAAUACAAGGUGGCAUCAUGAGUCCACAUGUUCACAUGAUUAAAGGUAUUCCGGUAGACGAUGGGGAUGCGUUCCAUUAGAUAGUAGGCGGGGUAACGGCCCACCUAGUCUUCGAUGGAUAGGGGUUCUGAGAGGAAGGUCCCCCACAUUGGAACUGAGACACGGUCCAAACUCCUACGGGAGGCAGCAGUGAGGAAUAUUGGUCAAUGGGCGAGAGCCUGAACCAGCCAAGUAGCGUGAAGGAUGACUGCCCUAUGGGUUGUAAACUUCUUUUAUAAAGGAAUAAAGUCGGGUAUGCAUACCCGUUUGCAUGUACUUUAUGAAUAAGGAUCGGCUAACUCCGUGCCAGCAGCCGCGGUAAUACGGAGGAUCCGAGCGUUAUCCGGAUUUAUUGGGUUUAAAGGGAGCGUAGAUGGAUGUUUAAGUCAGUUGUGAAAGUUUGCGGCUCAACCGUAAAAUUGCAGUUGAUACUGGAUAUCUUGAGUGCAGUUGAGGCAGGCGGAAUUCGUGGUGUAGCGGUGAAAUGCUUAGAUAUCACGAAGAACUCCGAUUGCGAAGGCAGCCUGCUAAGCUGCAACUGACAUUGAGGCUCGAAAGUGUGGGUAUCAAACAGGAUUAGAUACCCUGGUAGUCCACACGGUAAACGAUGAAUACCCGCUGUUUGCGAUAUACAGCAAGCGGCCAAGCGAAAGCGUUAAGUAUUCCACCUGGGGAGUACGCCGGCAACGGUGAAACUCAAAGGAAUUGACGGGGGCCCGCACAAGCGGAGGAACAUGUGGUUUAAUUCGAUGAUACGCGAGGAACCUUACCCGGGCUUGAAAGUUACUGACGAUUCUGGAAACAGGAUUUCCCUUCGGGGCAGGAAACUAGGUGCUGCAUGGUUGUCGUCAGCUCGUGCCGUGAGGUGUCGGCUUAAGUGCCAUAACGAGCGCAACCCUUGUUGUCAGUUACUAACAGGUUCCGCUGAGGACUCUGACAAGACUGCCAUCGUAAGAUGUGAGGAAGGUGGGGAUGACGUCAAAUCAGCACGGCCCUUACGUCCGGGGCUACACACGUGUUACAAUGGGGGGUACAGAGGGCCGCUACCACGCGAGUGGAUGCCAAUCCCCAAAACCUCUCUCAGUUCGGACUGGAGUCUGCAACCCGACUCCACGAAGCUGGAUUCGCUAGUAAUCGCGCAACAGCCACGGCGCGGUGAAUACGUUCCCGGGCCUUGUACACACCGCCCGUCAAGCCAUGGGAGCCGGGGGUACCUGAAGUGCGUAACCGCGAGGAGCGCCCUAGGGUAAAACUGGUGACUGGGGCUAA